GUGCAUGUUUCAUGGGCGCAAGCCUGAUCAGCCAUGCCGCGUGUGUGAAGAAGGCCUUCGGGUUGUAAAACACUUUCAGCGGGGAAGAAGGCGAUACGGUUGAUAACCGUGUGGAUUGACCGUACCCUUACAAGAAGCCCCGGUCAACUCCGUGCC
rnacentral:rRNA from 1 species